UACGUAGGGUGCGAGCGUUGUCCGGAAUUAUUGGGCGUAAAGAGCUCGUAGGCGGUCUGUCGCGUCUGCUGUGAAAUCCCGAGGCUCAACCUCGGGCUUGCAGUGGGUACGGGCAGGCUAGAGUGCGGUAGGGGAGAAUGGAACUCCUGGUGUAGCGGUGGAAUGCGCAGAUAUCAGGAAGAACACCGAUGGCGAAGGCAGUUCUCUGGGCCGUAACUGACGCUGAGGAGCGAAAGCAUGGGGAGCGAACAGG
rnacentral:rRNA from 1 species